AUGACUUCGAUCAUAAGUUUACCCGUGGGUGAUGAGGUCAAAGUUACACAGAAGGGUGAUGAUGUACACUCGAGUGCGAUAAUUAAAUCUACGCUCUACAGUGCACAUGGUGGAAGAAACCAUCUAUGUGCAAUAAUGUCGAAGAUCGCAGUCGAGUUAGCUAUACAGAUCGUGUGCUGUGAGAUCGACAAGAUCCCCAUCCCCAUCCCCACCCCCACUCCAGAGCAUCGCAGCCUAAGCCCAGCUACGCUUCCCGUGGAUCUCGAGGAGCGACUGGCCCAAAAGAGGUGUAUAGCUGUCCCUUUGCCCGACGUCGCCGAGGAAGCUGACGACCAUUACUGGUGGCAGGCACUCAAGCUGCGGGCUAGAGUAUGCGGGCAUGUCUCGGACGCCGGCUACGACAUCGAGGUCAUCGACAGCGACGGCCUGAGGCGGGCUAUGUCACAGGACACGUUCUGCGACGCUGGCUUGGGAUCCACAGCUUCCAAGCCAGACCUCAUCGACGGCGACCACGAGGAGGGCACCCUCUCCGGCUCUUCCAAGGGGAAAGAGCCCAUCUGCUCUUCCAAGGGAAAAGCGCUCGUCCGCGACAUCAGGGAGGGCACCCUACAGCCGUGCACUUCCCACAGGAACGAGCCCAUAUGUGACAAGGACGUGGUGCUCUACGCGCUCAGCGUGGGGGCCUGCGGCGCGGACGCCGUCGACGAAAAGGAGCUCGACCUCGUGCACCACAGGGAUGGCCAGCGCCACAUCAAGGUCCCCCGCCCCUUCUCUCCCUCUCCCGAUCUGAUCCCCUCUCGUUUCUGCGCCAAUUGGUUGCAGCGACUUGGAUUCCCAAAUCGUAUCAAUUCGGGCCGCUGGAAUUGA
rnacentral:rRNA from 1 species